UGGUACCUGCAGUAAAACAGUGCCAGAGCUCAUACAAAUUCUCUCAGAACAAUUGGUAAUAUUUUCCUCGAAAAUAUUAAAAUUCAGGUCUUUGCGUUUCUGAUUAUGAAAUACCGCAUAUGAAAACUCUACAGCACAACUGUGGAUGGUCCUUGGUUGAUGAUGGAUGGCACUUCGGAGCUUUCUCUUGCCCCGGCCCAUUUCAGAGAAAAGAAAAAGAAAUGCCACAGUGGAACUCAGAUGUCCCUUCGUUACAGAACUUAAACCUUUUAUCAUCGGCAACUGGGCUGAAUUACCCUCAGUGAUGCUUGGUACACCUGACAGUUUAACAGCUUCUAGAGACCAGGCGAAUGCUGCGUCCGGGAGAUAUAUCAUCAACUACCACUUCCUUCCAUCCGUGGUGUAAAGUGAUCGAAACUGAGAGCUCUUCAGAACGGAAACAUUCAAGAGCACGUAUUCCAGGCAACAUGAAUAGAUUGUAAUCGCCAAAUAAAUUCAAUCGUUUCUAAAAAUCACAGUCAUUCAUUCUAGUUUUACUGAGGUGCACAGGAGGCUGUACUCGACGAAGCAGCGGCCCGUUCAGACCUAACACCGCCGAGCCUUCUGACUGGGCGAGCACGGGCCACGGUCGAAGGAGUUCUUACCGAA